rnacentral:sRNA from 1 species
CCAUUUUUAUUUCAAGCACAUCAAGUCAUUACGACUGGGCGAUUAAAAAAAUACGGAAAUUCAAGAAAGCCGCUGGAAUCAAAUGAAUUCCAACGGCUUUUUU